rnacentral:rRNA from 1 species
GGCUAAACCAGUCAUGUGUGAUACCCGGCAGGGGUUGCGUGGUUGGGGUUGUGGGAUCGUACUUCGAUGAUCUGCCGGUCGUCGGGUGAGUUAGAAACCGUGAGUGUAGGCGAAGGGCAUGCGAAAGGCCCGGCGUAGAGGGUAAGACCCCCGUAGCUGAAACAUUUGCGGCUUGCUUGUACGACACCCAAGUAGCACGGGGCCCGAGAAAUCCCGUGUGAAUCUGGCGGGACCACCCGCUAAGCCUAAAUAUUCCCUGGUGACCGAUAGCGGAUAGUACCGUGAGGGAAUGGUGAAAAGUACCGCGGGAGCGGAGUGAAAUAGUACCUGAAACCGUGUGCCUACAAGCCGUGGGAGCGUCGCCAUGUCCUUUGGGGCAUGGUCGUGACUGCGUGCCUUUUGAAGAAUGAGCCUGCGAGUUUGCG